rnacentral:rRNA from 1 species
CCCUUAGAUGUCCUGGGCCGCACGCGCGUUACACUGAUGCAUUCAACGAGCUUAUAACCUUGGCCGAGCGGCCUGGGCAAUCUUGUUAACGUGCAUCGUGAUAGGGAUAGAUUAUUGAAAUUAUUAAUCUUGAACGAGGAAUUCCUAGUAAACGCAGAUCAUCAAUCUGCAUUGAUUACGUCCCUGCCCUUUGUACACACCGCCCGUCGCACCUACCGAUUGGAUGGUCCGGUGAAGCCUCGGGAUUGUGGUUCUUGCCGCUUUAUUGUGGCGUGACCGCGAGAACUUGUCUAAACCUUAUCAUCUAGAGGAAGGUGAAGUCGUAACA